CGCUAACUGCGUUCGUUCUCGAGAAAGAUGCGCGCAUUGUACACGAGUCUCGUGCUGGCGAUUCUCCUCGCGAAUCUCGUCGGAGGUUGGUCCUUUACGAACGUGGUGACGUCAAUUGAGAAUCUAAUUCGGCGACAAAUUAACUCCACCGUGGAAGUCUCGACCGUGAAUCCCAACGUUAAUACGUCGAGGGAUUCGGAGAUCACGAAGCAGAGUCAGAUAAUAUUCGUUCCACGAAGACGCAAAAUUUACUGCAAACAGGGCGAACAGGUCGAUCGUCGCGGCAAGUGCAGACUGGUGUGGUGAAUAAAAUCGAUAAACAAAUAAGCAAGAAUCUUCGUAGAGCUAGAAUUGAACGACUACCAUAUAUUCUUCUUUUUUCUUUCCUCCUCUCUCACGAAAGAAGAGUAUUCUCGAAUGGGGAGACACAGGAAAAUUGUUUCAAAGAAAGAGCCGGAAAUAAUUACGGGAGGAAAUAAUAGAUCUAUAUAAAAUACCAAUCAAUAAUAUAUAAGAUCUAUAGUCACACAUAAAAAACUUGUGGAUUUCCUUUGAAGCAAAAUGUCACGACCAGAUCUUGAUUUUAUUAUCUAUAAAUACCACUCUAUAUUUGUUAUCAAACACCUACAAUCUGCACUGAGAAAAAAAACCUGGUGAAUCGGAGAUUUUUUUUUUUUAUAGUUUUGAAUUAAGAAAAUCAAGUAGUUAAAAACUUGACUUUAAAUACAAUUUGACCGCGGAACAAACGCAUCUUGUUAUCAUCACUUUUUUCUCAGUAUGGAUUUAAUUGCGUUGUCAAAACAAAACUUUUAUAGUAUUAAAAUUAUACUUAAUUAGAGAUUAAUUGUAUUUUAUAAG